AGCGAACGCUGGCGGCAGGCCUAACACAUGCAAGUCGAACGAACUCUUCGGAGUUAGUGGCGGACGGGUGAGUAACACGUGGGAACGUGCCUUUUGGUUCGGAAUAACUCAGGGAAACUUGUGCUAAUACCGAAUGUGCCCUUCGGGGGAAAGAUUUAUCGCCAUAGAGCGGCCCGCGUCUGAUUAGCUGGUUGGUGAGGUAACGGCUCACCAAGGCGACGAUCAGUAGCUGGUCUGAGAGGAAGACCAGCCACACUGGGACGGAGACACGGCCCAGACUCCUACGGGAGGCAGCAGUGGGGAAUCUAGCGAAAUGGGCGAAAGCCUGACGGAGCCAUGCCGCGUGAAUGAUGAAGGUCUUAGGAUUGUAAAAUUCUUUCACCGGGGACGAUAAUGACGGUACCCGGAGAAGAAGCCCCGGCUAACUUCGUG
rnacentral:rRNA from 1 species